rnacentral:rRNA from 1 species
CAAGAGCGUAUGUAAAAGUUGUUGCAGUUAAAAAGCUCGUAGUUGAACCUUGGGUUUGGUUGGCCGGUCCGCUUUUUUGCGAGUACUGGAUUCAACCGAGCCUUUCCUUCUGGCUAACCAGUCGUUUCGGCGGCUGGCGAACCAGGAUUUUUACUUUGAGAAAAUUAGAGUGUUCAAAGCAGGCAUUAGCUUGAAUAUAUUAGCAUGGAAUAAUAGAAUAGGACGCUAUGGUUCUAUUUUGUUGGUUUCUAGGACCAUCGUAAUGAUUAAUAGGGACGGUCGGGGGCAUCAGUAUUCAGUUGUCAGAGGUGAAAUUCUUGGAUUUACCGAAGACUAACUACUGCGAAAGCAUUUGCCAAGGACGUUUUCAUUAA